rnacentral:rRNA from 1 species
AACGAACGCUGGCGGCAUGCCUAACACAUGCAAGUCGAACGAGACCUUCGGGUCUAGUGGCGCACGGGUGCGUAACGCGUGGGAACCUGCCCUUAGGUUCGGAAUAACUCCCCGAAAGGGGUGCUAAUAGCGGAUAAUGUCUUCGGACCAAAGAUUUAUCGCCUUUGGAUGGGCCCGCGUUGGAUUAGCUAGUUGGUAGGGUAAAAGCCUACCAAGGCGACGAUCCAUAGCUGGUCUGAGAGGAUGAUCAGCCACACCGGGACUGAGACACGGCCCAGACUCCUACGGGAGGAAGCAGUGGGGAAUAUUGGACAAUGGGCGAAAGCCUGAUCCAGCAAUGCCGCGUGAGUGAUGAAGGCCUUAGGGUUGUAAAGCUCUUUUACCCGGGAUGAUAAUGACAGUACCGGGAGAAUAAGCUCCGGCUAACUCCGUG